rnacentral:rRNA from 1 species
CGAAUGCCAAUUAAUUUAACUUGGGAGUCAGAACAUGGGUGAUAAGGUCCGUGUUCGAAAGGGAAACAGCCCAGACCACCAGCUAAGGUCCCAAAAUAUAUGUUAAGUGGAAAAGGAUGUGGCGUUGCCCAGACAACUAGGAUGUUGGCUUAGAAGCAGCCAUCAUUUAAAGAGUGCGUAAUAGCUCACUAGUCGAGUGACACUGCGCCGAAAAUGUACCGGGGCUAAACAUAUUACCGAAGCUGUGGAUUGUCCUUUGGACAAUGGUAGGAGAGCGUUCUAAGGGCGUUGAAGCAUGAUCGUAAGGACAUGUGGAGCGCUUAGAAGUGAGAAUGCCGGUGUGAGUAGCGAAAGACGGGUGAGAAUCCCGUCCACCGAUUGACUAAGGUUUCCAGAGGAAGGCUCGUCCGCUCUGGGUUAGUCGGGUCCUAAGCUGAGGCCGACAGGCGUAGGCGAUGGAUAACAGGUUGAUAUUCCUGUACCACCUAUA